AGCAGUAGCCGCGGGAAUACGGAGGGGGCUAGCGUUGUUCGGAAUUACUGGGCGUAAAGCGCACGUAGGCGGCUUGGUAAGUUAGAGGUGAAAGCCUGGAGCUCAACUCCAGAAUUGCCUUUAAGACUGCCGAGCUAGCAGGUGAGAGAGGUAAGUGGAAUUCCGAGUGUAGAGGUGAAAUUCGUAGAUAUUCGGAAGAACACCAGUGGCGAAGGCGGCUUACUGGCUCAUACUGGACGCUGAGGUGCGAAAGCGUGGGGAGCAAACAGGAUUAGAUACCCCGGUAGUCCCUGUCUCUUAUAC
rnacentral:rRNA from 1 species